rnacentral:rRNA from 1 species
UGGUGGAGUGAUUUGUCUGGUUAAUUCCGUUAACGAACGAGACCUCGACCUGCUAAAUAGCUCGGCCCACCCCUCGGGGUGGGUGCGCGGCUUCUUAGAGGGACUAUCGGUGCGUAGCCGAUGGAAGUUCGAGGCAAUAACA